CUCUCUAAUGACCAGCAAAAUUGUGUACAAACUCCAAACUCAGUACCAUCUUGCUGAGAGGGAGAGAUGACAAGGGGAAAGCAAAAGAUCGAGGCUCAGAGGAAAAAUGCCGAGAAGAAUCAGAAAGGAAAAGGGUCUCAGCUUGAAGCCCGUGCCGUUGGCCUCAAAGUCAUCUGUCCCAUUUGUAAAGCGCAGCUAGCAAAUCAAAACCAACUUGUGGAUCACUAUGGCUCUAAGCAUCCAAAGGAAAAGGCUCCAAGUAACUCAGAAUAACAUUUCCUGUUUCUUGGGAAGCUUCUCAAACUUUUGAAUCAAUUAGUAAAAACUCUGUUAAAAAGGCAAGAGUCGAAGCUGCUUUGUGAAAUAGACUGAACAUUCUCUGUGAAUAGUGUAAGCAAGAAAACAAUAAAAAUCUAAAAGAGGAUGGAUGGUUAUGAUUUUUAGCUGCAUAUGUUAACUGGCCAUUUUCACCUUUGUCCA